AUGUCCAAUGAUGAUCUAAAACUUAUACUUUCGUUCUUCUGAAGUUUGCGGUGUGGAAGAACAAAUUUGGAGACCUGAAAUGAGGAAAU